GACUGGUCCAGGUGGUCCCGCCUCACGGUGGGUACUUCUAGGGCUAGUCUUUCCUUCUGGGGAACUAGUGUGCUAUUCAUUUAGUGUGCUUGGGAACCAGGACUGUUACUUUGAAAAAAUUAGAGUGUUUAAAGCAGGCUCGCGCUUGAAUACAUUAGCAUGGAAUAAUGAAAUAGGACG
rnacentral:rRNA from 1 species